rnacentral:rRNA from 1 species
UUGCACGCUGGCGGCAGGCCUAACCCAUGCAAGUCGAGCGGAUGAAGGGAGCUUGCUCCUGGCUUCAGCGGCGGACGGGUGAGUAAUGCCUAGGAAUCUGCCUGGUAGUGGGGGAUAACGUCCGGAAACGGGCGCUAAUACCGCAUACGUCCUGAGGGAGAAAGUGGGGGAUCUUCGGACCUCACGCUAUCAGAUGAGCCUAGGUCGGAUUAGCUAGUUGGUGGGGUAAAGGCCUACCAAGGCGACGAUCCGUAACUGGUCUGAGAGGAUGAUCAGUCACACUGGAACUGAGACACGGUCCAGACUCCUACGGGAGGCAGCAGUGGGGAAUAUUGGACAAUGGGCGAAAGCCUGAUCCAGCCAUGCCGCGUGUGUGAAGAAGGUCUUCGGAUUGUAAAGCACUUUAAGUUGGGAGGAAGGGCAGUAAGUUAAUACCUUGCUGUUUUGACGUUACCAACAGAAUAAGCACCGGCUAACUUCGUG